CACUAUCAUACAGCCCUUACUGUCAGGAAGUUUUUUCUGAUGUUUAGGUGGAAUCUCUUUUCCUUCACCUUGAACCCAUUACUCCUGAUCCUAGUCUCUGGAGCAGCAGAAAACUUUCGUAUCUUCAUGGCAAAAAAGAGCUAGUGAAAGAAAGAGAGAGAGAGAGAGAGAAACAAACAAACAAACAACAAACAAACUGGGAUUUUGGAGAAACAUAAUUGAUCAUGACAAUAGAUCAGUGGUGGCGAACCUUUGGCACUCCAGAUGUUAUGGACUGCAAUUCCCAUCAGCCCAAUUGUAGUCCAUAACAUCUGGAAUGCCAAAGGUUCGCCACCACAGCAAUAGAUGGUUAUAACAUUAUUGUAAUGAUCUAGCAACUGCAUGUUUAAAAAACUCAACUGAGGGAUGAAAAAUGGUGCCAAUGUGCAUCGGACAUUAAAAAAUGCACACCUUCCUGGCCACAUAGUGUACAAAGGUACUUUGACAGGAAUCUUUCCUAAAAAGAUAGUUUCAGGAGAGUAGCUGUGUUGACUUGCAGUAAAACAGCCUGAGUUGAAUGUAGCAGUACUUUAGAGACCAACAAGGGUAUGAGCUUUCAAGAGUCAAAGCUCCCUUCAUCAAGCCAAGUGUUGGGAAGACCGGCUCAAGGAGGAUAAAACCCAGUAAGUGGAUGGUUAGUGAACAACAUCAUAUGGUUGAGUCUGCCAAACCUGCCUUCCCCCGAAAAUAACCACAAAACCCUGUUCUGGUUUGGAUGUCAAAUGAAAACAAAGCCUGUGUGGAAGCAUCCUUAGCAGUAACAAAUGUCUCUCUGCAUGUGAGCCUUCACCAAACAGCAGCAGAGCAGUGGAAAGGAGGAGGAGGUAUUUUCCAGCUGAGCAGCCAGCUGUCUGUGGGUGCAGAAAUUUCCCCACCUUCCCCUCUCUUCAGGUCAUUUUUUUCAUUCUGGUCUUGGAACCAGGGGAGAGGGAGAAGGCUCCAGUACACCCAUUUGCCCUUAUUCCCCUAGAAAUACCAACCCUACCCCCAGCACAGCUGUUUGGCAACAAUCUGAGAGAAGCAGAUGCACAUAGAAAGGGAAGAUUUCCCCGUCUUCCCGGCAGGCUAGCGCCUUCUCUCAAUGAUAGUCGGAGUGUCACCUCAGACAAAAAAGUUGAUACUUCACUGUGGUCCUCGAAUGCAGGAUAAUGUGAGUCACAUAUGAACGGGGCAUGACUAAGUAUGUCCUUCAGCCACUUGAUUUCUUUCAAACACAUGCAAGCAGCAAGAAGGGAAGGGCUGGGGUCCCAAUCCCAGCUGAAAAUAUACACAUGCCCCAUUCAAAUAUGACACAGUCUUAUGUAUUUUGUCCUCUGGUACAGCCCUUCCCCCUCCCCAAUGCUGCUUCUAAAUUCACGUACAGUGGACUCCUGGCUGUUAGGUGUCGAGCAUACCGGGUGAUCUUUGGGUUGUGAAGAAUUAACCGUUGUUUGCUCAUGCAUGAGGCAUCUUUUUCAGGAUACCUGACGGCUUAUGCAUGUAACACUGUGCUGAUUGUGCUUCCACUGCAUGUUGAGGGCUAUCCUUGAAACCGUUAAAAAAUAUCCAGAUUUUUUUGAUUAAAAAGAAAUAAAUAAAGUAAAUUUGGCUCACUCCCAAAGGACCCUGCAUUUUUCCAAUAUCCCUGUUUUUGGUUUCAUUGGCGUAUUGUUCAAGGUAUUGCAAUUUCUUGAUCACUGCUUCUGAAUUGCAGCAGUGGUGGCCGUGGAAGGUGUGGGAAAAGUAACAGAAGUACGAGGUGGUAAAUUCACCUUGAUGCAAUGGCUUUGUGAUGUGUGUGUUUUUAAAAAGCAUCUAGUCAUAAAAGCCAAAAUACCCCAAAGAGCAUUCCUUAAGUGUCUCUCCAUAAGAUCCUUAAGUGUCUCGCAAACAUGGCACUGUCCAAUUAAGAUUGCCAGCCAGUGAUGGCAAUCAGAAGCCUGGCAGGGGGCAUGGGAGGGGGACCAUCAGAGGACAAUGGGAUGUCAUUUCUAGGGAAAACCUGGAAGUGACUGCACCUCUCUAGGAAUUACUGGAAACUAUGGUAAAACCAAAGUGAUAUCUAGGGAGAGUGAUGUCUCUUCUAGGUUCCUUCUCUGGUGACAUCACACCUGAUGACAGUUUUUAAAUUUUUCCAUCCUGCCAGCUGCUAGAGUGGUAGCAGAAACUGGGCACAGGGAAUCCCCUGGCCACUCCAGUUUUUUAAGCCCAGGCAACCGAGUCUGCAAAUCCCCCUCCCGCAAGAGCAAGAGCUCUGUUCCUUCCUUGGCAAAAACAAGCACCACAAACUUUAAUCUGCCCUUUCUAUUGUGGCCCCAAACCUCACUCACUUUAAGUCUCCCACCAGGUGUCAACCAUUGGCUGCCAAGUCUAAUUUUUUGUUAUGCUGGUUUUUGUAUUGGGGAGUGUUCAGCCAUGCAAACCUCUUCCUGCAGAAAAACGUGGUAAAGUCCAUGCUCCAAUUUACCAUAGUGAGAACUAGGCCUAGGUCAUUCUUGGUGUUCUCUGAAGCUACCUCCAUGAUGCAGAACUUGCUUCCCCAAAUCUUUUUUU